rnacentral:rRNA from 1 species
AGAGUUUGAUCCUGGCUCAGGAUGAACGCUGGCGGCGUGCUUAACACAUGCAAGUCGAGCGAAGCACUUAACCGGAUUCCUUCGGGAAGAAAGUUAUUUGACUGAGCGGCGGACGGGUGAGUAACGCGUGGGGAACCUGCCUUAUACCGGGGGAUAACAGCUGGAAACGGCUGCUAAUACCGCAUAAGCGCACGGCACCGCAUGGUGCCGUGUGAAAAACUCCGGUGGUGUAAGAUGGACCCGCGUUAGAUUAGCUUGUUGGCGGGGUAACGGCCCACCAAGGCGACGAUCUAUAGCCGGCCUGAGAGGGCGACCGGCCACAUUGGGACUGAGACACGGCCCAAACUCCUACGGGAGGCAGCAGUGGGGAAUAUUGCACAAUGGGCGAAAGCCUGAUGCAGCGACGCCGCGUGAGCGAAGAAGUAUUUCGGUAUGUAAAGCUCUAUCAGCAGGGAAGAAAAUGACGGUACCUGACUAAGAAGCCCCGGCUAACUACGUGCCAGCAGCCGCGGUAAUACGUAGGGGGCAAGCGUUAUCCGGAUUUACUGGGUGUAAAGGGAGCGUAGACGGCAGUGCAAGUCUGAAGUGAAAGCCUGGGGCUCAACCCCGGAACUGCUUUGGAAACUGUGCUGCUUGAGUACCGGAGGGGUAAGCGGAAUUCCUAGUGUAGCGGUGAAAUGCGUAGAUAUUAGGAGGAACACCAGUGGCGAAGGCGGCUUACUGGACGGUAACUGACGUUGAGGCUCGAAAGCGUGGGGAGCAAACAGGAUUAGAUACCCUGGUAGUCCACGCCGUAAACG